UUCCGCUGCACAAUUUUAUUAUCCCACUCGAAUUAUGAUAUUUUUAAUUUUCGCCUAGUUCUUGGCACAUAUAAAAUUCGGCAAUAUUUCGGCGUUUGCAGCAGUUGUGCAGAGAUCUUGGCGCGAAGUUCGAAAUAAGACUGAGGGAACGUUUUCAGAAAGCAUACAAAGUGUAUUCGCAUUUUCCUGCUCAGCGUUAGUUAUUCGCGAGCGUUUGGCCUGUGUAAACAAUCUGGCGAUAUAGCUGUGCGUAUCCACAAGGUUAGGAGAGCAGCAGGCCGCACUGUGCCAACAAACUAAUAAUAUCGCAGCUCUCGAUUGCAACCAUCUGCAACGGAUUUUGACAAUCUGAUAAAUGCGAUGCAAAUUGCGAAAAUACAUAUCUUUCGAGAGGAGGAAUCUGAGCAAUGCUGGCGCCCUGUGGCCAUAAAGCUCUGCACUUGACCUCAGUGCCGCCGGAAAGGCGGAAAAGUUUAUUGUUUCAAUUGGCAGUUGGCAGUUGGCGGUGUUCUCAACCGCAAACUAAAUGAAACACUGGGUUCUGAGUGAAUUUGAAAACAAGGCAAUAACUCUAUGCUGGGCAUUAAUUCAGAGCAUAAAUUCCCUAGCAACUUUGGCAGCACACGCAGAGCAUUAAAAUUAAGACAUUGUGGCGGGGAAUUUUAUGGCACACCAAUUGAGGUCGCAACUUGGCCACUAAAAAAAAUAAUUGAGAGUCGGCCAAUAAUAAGAGGAAGCCAACACUGACCGC